UACGUAGGGGGCAAGCGUUGUCCGGAUUUAUUGGGCGUAAAGAGCGUGUAGGCGGUUUGGUAGGUCCGCUGUGAAAACUCGAGGCUCAACCUCGAGACGCCGGUGGAAACCAUCAGACUAGAGUCCGGAAGAGGAGAGUGGAAUUCCUGGUGUAGCGGUGAAAUGCGCAGAUAUCAGGAGGAACACCGAUGGCGAAGGCGGCUUACUGGCCCGGUACUGACGCUGAGGUGCGAAAGCGUGGGGAGCAAACAGG
rnacentral:rRNA from 1 species